AUCCUGGGACACAGACAUGAAUACAGAAUAUGGGCUUUGAAGAAAUUAUGCACAGGGUACCUAGGAAGCUCAAAGGAGAGAUAACUUACUUGGCCUGAAGAACCUGGUGGAAGUGAGCGUGUGUGACGUCUGAGGUGAGGUCACAAUAGGCAUUACUAUUUCUGCCUUGUUCUUUUGGAUGGCUUCGUCUGGAGCCAGGGGUCUUGCCAUGAAGGACAUUCAAGCAGUUCUGAGGAGAGGCCCAAGUGAAGAGGAACCAGUUGCCAGCACCACCCUGUCAGCUAUGUUAGGCCCCUGCCUAUAUAAACAAUUUGAUUAAAAACAUAUAUUUAAAAAUUCAUCAGUACAUGUGAGAUAUGAUGAUUUAUCAUUGAAGAUUUAGGAUGAUGGGCAGAGAAAGGCAAUCUGUUUUGUCUAUUGUCCAAUCAGUGCACGUGAAGAUUUGUUACAGUAUCCAGAAAAGACUAAAAAAGACCAAGCCUGUUAAACAACUCCAUCAAAGAAAAACAAGGAAGCCAUCCAGCUUUGUUCUGGACUCAGCAGCUAAGAUGGCAUGAGCUUCAUCGUAAAGCAUAGUUCUAUGUCAUGUCUACUGGAUGAAUCCAAUGUGGCUGGUCCCUUAAUAAAAU
rnacentral:lncRNA from 1 species